rnacentral:rRNA from 1 species
GAUGAACGCUGGCGGCGUGCCUAAUACAUGCAAGUCGAGCGAGAAUUUUUCAAAUGACACUUCGGUUGAUUUUGGAAAAGGACAGCGGCGGACGGGUGAGUAACGCGUAGGCAACCUGCCCCUGACAGAGGGAUAGCCAUUGGCAACGAUGAUUAAAACCUCAUAACGCCGAAGGAACACAUGGUCCAUCGGCCAGAGAUUUAUCGGUCAAGGAUGGGCCUGCGUCUGAUUAACUAAUUGGGGAGGUAACGGCUCACCAAGGUUACGAUCAGGAGCCGACCUGAGAGGGUGAUCCGCCACAUGGGAACUGAGACACGUUCCAAACUUCUACGGAAGGCAGCAGGAGGUAAUCUUGCACAAUGGGCGAAAGCCUGAUGCAGCAACGCCGCGUGAAGGAUGAAGGCCUUCGGGUUGUAAACUUCUGUUCUUAGGGAAGAAGAAAGUGGCGGUACCUAAGGAGACAGCCCCGGCUAACUACGUGCCAGCCGCCGCCGUAA